rnacentral:rRNA from 1 species
UUCCAGCUCCAAUAGCGUAUAUUUAAGUUGUUGCAGUUAAAAAGCUCGUAGUUGGAUUUCGGGUGGGCGAGGCCGGUCCGCCGUCUCGGUGUGCACUGGCUGCGCCCAUCUUCUUGCUGGGGACGCGCUCCUGGCCUUUGUUGGCUGGGACGUGGAGUCAGCGAUGUUACUUUGAAAAAAUUAGAGUGUUCAAAGCAGGCCUUGGCUCUGAAUACAUUAGCAUGGAAUAACACGAUAGGACUCUGGUCCUAUUUUGUUGGUCUUCGGGACCGGAGUAAUGAUUAAUAGGGAUAGUUGGGGGCAUUAGUAUUUAAUUGUCAGAGGUGGAAUUCUCGGAUUUGUUAAAGACUAACUUAUGCGAAAGCAUUUGCCAAGGAUGUUUUCAUUA